CAGCAGCCGCGGGAAUACAGAGGGUGCGAGCGUUAAUCGGAUUUACUGGGCGUAAAGCGUGCGUAGGCGGCUUCUUAAGUCGGAUGUGAAAUCCCUGAGCUUAACUUAGGAAUUGCAUUCGAUACUGGGAAGCUAGAGUAUGGGAGAGGAUGGUAGAAUUCCAGGUGUAGCGGUGAAAUGCGUAGAGAUCUGGAGGAAUACCGAUGGCGAAGGCAGCCAUCUGGCCUAAUACUGACGCUGAGGUACGAAAGCAUGGGGAGCAAACAGGAUUAGAUACCCCAGUAGUCCCUGUCUCUUAUAC
rnacentral:rRNA from 1 species